AGUAGACAUAACAAUGACUCUAUUGAACUGGAAGUUAAGACUGCCACUAGGCCACUUUGGGCUCCUUAUGCCUGGGUCAACAGGCCAAGGAGGGAGUUAUAGUGUUGGCUGCAUGGCUGAUCUGACUACUAAGGGGAAAUUGGACUACUGCUCAACAAUGGAGUUGAAUAGGGUAUUCCAGGAGAUGCUGAGGUCCUUUUACUGUACUGUUCGAGCUGAGACUAAAAGACCAUCCUAUUGAGUGGGAGAGGACGAAUAAAACAGUCUCGGAGCUUCUAUGUUUCCGGUUACCUCUUGGGACAAUGAAGAACCAGCUCCAACGACAGCGAGGAGACCAACCCUUUCUUGUUGCCUCUUUCUUUCUCUCCAUCCUAAGGAGAGGCUCUUCGGGGACAAGAAGUAGAGAAGAGAAGAUCACUGGAGAAGGGUGUUAAAAGGAGGCUUCCGGCCAGGCACUGUGGCUCAUGCCUAUAACCCCAGCACUUUGGGAGGCCGAGGUGGGCUCAUUGCUUGAGCCCGGGAGUUCAAGACCAGCCUGGGCAACAUGACUAAACCUCGUCUCUACAAAAAACACAAAAAUUAGUCAGGCAUGUGCCUGUAGUCCCAGGUAUUCAGAGGUGAGGUGAGAGGAUCACUUGAGCCCAGGAGGUCGAGGCUGCAGAGAGCUGAGAUGGCACCACUGCACUCCAGCAUGGGUGACAGAUCGAGACCCUGUCUUUAAAAAAAAAAAAGAAACUUUCUUCAUUCUUAUUUUUACCUUAUGAUUUCCACAGGACUAAAAAACUUUCAUUAAGUAAUUUCUAUAGGACUAAAAGAGCCCCAGUGAAAUUUCUAUUUGGGAGCCGAAGAUUUACAUUCAUAUCCGUCAUCAUUAAACAAAUAUUUAUGCAAUGCUGGCAAUGUGAAAUGUCUCAUGGAGACUAAAUGAGGGAUUAACUGCAAAGGACAUAGCCCAGAACAGCAUAUAAACAACAAACGGGAGUUCCCUUUGGCCACCAGGGCCGUGCUGGUACGUCACUCUGGAAACGUUCUGUUGUUUCAUUUGAGGAUUAGCAAAACCCCUGUCUCCGUUCUGCUUCUUUGUAUUAAAAUGAAAAGCUCCUCUGUUCUUUAACGUAUUAUGUUCAUAGCAUAAUAAAUAUCUGCAACUCAAUUCAUGGGUGUUCUGUAUCCGCAUUCUGCGGCCCCCCUCUGAACAGUGAGGAAGCAUUUGUGUGUGUUCUUCCAUGUGUUCUAGAUAUAAGAUUACUUGCCCCAGGACAAAGAUUAUCUUUGGAUUUGCUUUAAGUCUAGCACAGAGCCAAAUAUAUGAAAUGUUUAUAAAGAUGUUCAUAAAAAUGUCAAAGAGGGGACUUUCCUUCAUGCAAUGCUUGUCAUUUUUCAGCCUUAUUUUAGUUAUAGGUGAAGAACAAAGUGUUCAAUCAAUUUGCAUUCCCGUUUGUACUGAAGAAAAAAAACUGCAUGUAAGGACAUAAAUGUUUGACUAGUUGUACGUGAAGAACUCUUAUCUGGAAAGGAAGAUGACAAUGCUAAUGAUGAAUUCACGGAGGAAAUGCAUUAGAUAAAGCAGAUUGUCAUCUUUUGUUUCAAAUCAUGAAAGGGAUAGGGGACAUGCCUAACCAUAGUGUGUCAACCAGGAGGGUAUUUUACACGUUCUUAGAUAUGAUAUUAGUGAUUGAGACUGUUUCCCAGCAAGGCGUAACCACUGAUUAUUACCAAAAAAAAGUUCAGCUUUAUGAUAAAUGUACUGUAUGAACUCUAGCAUCUCUGCUGCAAUUGUUUCUUUGUGUGCAGCACAGCUAUGAUUAACCUUAUUGCCUGGCUACCUCCUGGAAUAUUAUGAAAGUCAGUGAUGUGAUAUUAGCAAAAGACAUCCAACUCUUAGUCUUCAGCUUCAAAGAAAAGCCUGAGCCAUCAGUGACAAGAAACAGAUGGUCUUACUGAAGGGCAGAGAAGGAGGCUGCAAAAUCUGUGGUGAGAAUGUCAAGCGAGAGGUUCCCAAAGCCCCCUCAUUCUGACAUCUCAGAAGCCUGUCUCUCAUUAAGAGACACAUGAACCCUUAGUUGGUGCUCAC
rnacentral:lncRNA from 1 species